GGAUGAGCCUUCCUCUAAUCUCCAGAUAUCUCCCUAAUUUGUUUAGACAUUUCAAAUGGAGCUGUACUCAAUCAGAUGGAAGGGAUGCAAGUCGGUCUGAGGCUACCUUAUGCUGAGGCCUGAGGACAUAUGAUCAUGAUGGGGAUACAGAAGUGAAAUAUUUUCUGUUGAAGUGAAAUACGUAUAAUAAACCAUUGCGUAAAUACUGCUCUCUCUCUCUCUCUCUCUCUCUCUCAGAUCGCCUUAAGACAAUUCCGGAUCGUUGGUCACGCAGUUGACAGUGGACGAAGCCGGAAAAUCCAUGGCCACCAUCUCACCUCCGCGGCCAUCUUCGGUCUGCCCAAAACCUUCCACUGGCGGCUCCAAAUCUAUGCCGGAUCGGCUUUCGCGACAUCGCCGAAGCUUAGCUCACUUCGGUUGUUGUGUGACGUGGACCACUGUCACUAUCCCCGCCUCGAUUGCGAACUCGAUUCGGAUUCCAGCCAGCUCCACGUCCGAGGCUCCCAGACGGAUUCCGAAUCGGAGACUCCCCGAAUUGCAGUCCAAAGCCUUCGAUUCCAACCUGCAGACGAAUGCCGAGAUUGGGAAGAUCGGCGGAGUCGUUCUCGUUCAGGUCACAGGUUGAACUCCAUGAAGAAGGCAAAGAAGCUCUGGUCCGAGCUACCUCGCCAGAGGCGAACUCGGGCCUUGAUGCAAAGGAAGAAGUUAGGAUUCCGAUCUGCAACUGUGGAAGAAGGGAGAAGAAAGAAGACUGGGUGCCCCGAGCAGUUUCUAGGUGCCG
rnacentral:lncRNA from 1 species